GACGAACGCUGGCGGCGUGCUUAACACAUGCAAGUCGAACGGAAAGGCCCUGCUUUUGUGGGGUGCUCGAGUGGCGAACGGGUGAGUAACACGUGAGUAACCUGCCCUUGACUUUGGGAUAACUUCAGGAAACUGGGGCUAAUAUCGGAUAGGAGCUCCUGCUGCAUGGUGGGGGUUGGAAAGUUUCGGCGGUUGGGGAUGGACUCGCGGCUUAUCAGCUUGUUGGUGGGGUAGUGGCUUACCAAGGCUUUGACGGGUAGCCGGCCUGAGAGGGUGACCGGCCACAAUGGGACUGAGAUAGGGCCCAGACUCCUACGGGAGGCAGCAGGGGGGAAUAUUGCGCAAUGGGCGGAAGCCUGAUGCAGCAACGCCGCGUGCGGGAUAACGGCCUUCGGGUUGUAAACCGCUGUCGCCGGUGACGAAGCGUGAGUGACGGUAAUGAGUAAAGAAGCACCGGCUAACUACGUG
rnacentral:rRNA from 1 species